rnacentral:rRNA from 1 species
GAUGAACGCUAGCGGCAGGCUUAACACAUGCAAGUCGAGGGGUAGAAGGAGCUUGCUCCUUUGAGACCGGCGCACGGGUGCGUAACGCGUAUGCAAUCUACCUUUUGCAGAGGGAUAGCCCAGAGAAAUUUGGAUUAAUACCUCAUAGUAUGUGAGGAUGGCAUCAUUUUCACAUUAAAGUCACAACGGCAAAAGAUGAGCAUGCGUCCCAUUAGCUAGUUGGUAAGGUAACGGCUUACCAAGGCUACGAUGGGUAGGGGUCCUGAGAGGGAGAUCCCCCACACUGGUACUGAGACACGGACCAGACUCCUACGGGAGGCAGCAGUGAGGAAUAUUGGACAAUGGGCGCAAGCCUGAUCCAGCCAUGCCGCGUGCAGGAUGACGGUCCUAUGGAUUGUAAACUGCUUUUGUACUAGGAAGAAACAACUACUUACGGUGAAAGUAGACCUUGAACGGUACUGUAAGAAUAAGG